CCUACGGGUGGCAGCAGUGGGGGAUAUUGGACAAUGGGGGAAACCCUGAUCCAGCGACGCCGCGUGAGUGAAGAAGUAUUUCGGUAUGUAAAGCUCUAUCAGCAGGGAAGAAAGAAAUGACGGUACCUGAGUAAGAAGCCCCGGCUAACUACGUGCCAGCAGCCGCGGGAAUACGUAGGGGGCAAGCGUUAUCCGGAAUUACUGGGUGUAAAGGGAGCGUAGACGGUAAUGCAAGUCUGGAGUGAAAGGCGGGGGUCCACCCCCCGGACUGCUCUGGAAACUGGGUAACUGGAGUGCAGGAGAGGCAGGCGGAAUUCCUAGUGUAGCGGUGAAAUGCGUAGAUAUUAGGAGGAACACCAGUGGCGAAGGCGGCCUGCUGGACUGUAACUGACGUUGAGGCUCGAAAGCGUGGGGAGCAAACAGGAUUAGAUACCCUGGUAGUC
rnacentral:rRNA from 1 species